GCGCGGCCCCCCAGCCCCGUACCUUGGCCAUGGCGGGAGAAGGCGGCGGCGGCGGCAGAGGCGCGCUCGGGGCCCGGCUGGCUCAGGCCCCUCCACCCGGUUUCAAGUGAUUGUAUGAGACUCUCAGCUUUCAGCUAAAAGAAAAAUUUAACAUCUGGCAAUAAAAAGGAGGAGCCAGCACUGUGGACCGCCAGCAAGUACCCCAUGGAUCAUCAAUACUCUGUGGACCACAGUUUGAAAACCUCUGAUCUAAUCUCUUUGGACUGUUUGUACACAAAAACUUUUGGCAUAGCAGCUCAUACUGAAGGAGAUGAUUGUACUAGGAUUCCAAUGAUUCACAGCCAACUGCUCUCCUACUUUCAAAGGUCUAUUACGGAAUUUCCACCUAACAGCAUAGUUCUCAUAGGGGUUUUUUUGUUCACUAGGAUCUAAAGGCUGAAGUUAAUGGUAGUUUUGCCUGAGUACAGAUUUGUUCCAUUAUCUUUUCAUCUCAUUUCCAUAAGAGGCUCUUCCAUAGCAACUUCCUGUAUGGGUAUUCUGGCUGCAUUCUGUGUUUUACACCAGGUGUUUCUUUUCCUCUCCAUGCCAGCAGCGCUCAUCAUUUUAUAGCUGGCAUCUCUUUAGUUUGUAGCAGUACUUGCAUAUCCCACAGAACCACUCAAAACAAAUAUUCAAUAUCUUUUAAAAAACUAAUGAGUUUACCUUUUGUACACACAAUCACAACUUUUAUUGCCAAAUUAUAUUAUCAUUUAUAAAAAUCCAAAUCCAAAACUCCAUUCUGACGCCAGAUAGGUUGAAUGAACAGACCAGGACAAAAAGAAUUGUUGUCAGUGAACUAAUAACAAUUAGAAUGUUCAGGAAUAAUUCUGUGACGUUAUUGACAUGAACUGUGACCAUAUAAAUCAUAGUUGCAACCAGGGUCCUAUGGUUGCACCAGGUCUUGUACAUAGGAGACCAAGUAAGGUGUCUAUGGAAAGUUUGUAGUUUGCUGGUUAUGAUUAUGCUGUCUGUAUGUGUGUAUAUUUCUUGUGUUUGCAGUUAUGAAUAUUGGCUAUGUACUUGUAUCUCAAUGUGUUUGAUUCUAAGUAGCCUCAGUGAAGUAUUUGGUCAGCUUUUUGAGAAAGGACUUUUCUCAGUAAGUGCCCAAUCAAGAAACAUUUAACUGACAAUGGACUUUGGGAGACGCCAGUCCACACCUGAGCUUUCGUAGGAACGUUCAAACCAACGUGUAAACAGUGGCGUCGGCCUGCAAAAAGCUGAAUCAUUCGUAGACAUGUGACUUGCCCAGGUGGCUACAAACUCCAUCUUGUUGCUGUGACUUUGCACAAAAGGACAAAGGGGUUUCCGCCCACAAGAGAGGAAAAUAUAAAAGACCCUGGAAGCCUCACCAUUUGGUCUUCAGCUGGCUUAAAAGAUGGCCUCUUCACCCCAAAGAAAUGCCUGAAAGAAACUGGAACAAAGGACAGUAACUAUAGGGAUGUGAGUGAUUGCUGGACCCAGACUAGGUAGGAGUCCAGUCUGUGAAAGAAGCUUAUUGGAACGUCUCUGGGGGUGAGAUUUCAUUUAUAAUCAGUUUCAUAAUGUAUUAGGCUUAGACUUGCGUGUUUUUGUUUUAUUUUGCUUGGUAACUUACUUUGUUCUGUCUGUUAUUACUUGGGACCACUUAAAUCCUACUUUUUAUAUUUAAUAAAAUCACUUUUGCUUAUUAUUGAAA